UUGUGUAGGUGGUGCAUACAAUCAUUUGAUGUAGGAUGUUUGCUUUAUUGACUGUGCAUGUGUGUGUGUGUGUGUGUGUGUGUGUGUGUGUGCGCGCGCGUCGCUGCAAAGAUUUACAGGACAGAAUCUGUCUUUGAGUGACAUUUGCUUUCAAUCUGCUCUCAGCAGAUACACCUCAAGCACACAGCAGCAAAACAAAACAAAACAAAAAAAAGAAAGAAAAAAAAAGGCGUUAUU